AGAUAUCUAAAAAUAAGGUGGAGGUCAUCGACGCCAUGGAUGAUAUAGGAAACACCUAACUGUUACAGGAUGGGAAACAAGUGUAGAAGAUAUAUUUAGAGACAGGUAAAGGAGCGUUACCGUGCUAUUACAACAGCUAUGGACAAGACAGUCGAAGAUUGUCCCAGAAACCUGACAGAGACAGUGGAAGCCUCUGCACGACUGGGCUGUGGUCGUGACAAGUAUGGAAAUGACCAGUAUAUGUGUCUCCCUAACUUAGAGACAACAAGUCUGGUAGAAUUCUGUCACGAUGGUUUCAUGGGCUUAAUAGAAAGUGGUAAUUGUUUGAAAACUGCAGAGAGUAAAAUUUUUACACACAAAUGUUCCAAUUUUGUUUCUGGCUGCCCGGAUGUAGACUUCGCAGUAACGAAAUCUACAAAUACCCUGCUUGUCAAAACAUUAGUACAGAACAUCGUUGUUUUCUUGCUGAUCCAUAUUGUGCAAACGCGACAUGGGAUAUAUCUACUGAAGAAACAGAGGAAAAAUUUAUCCCCAAGUCCACAACAAAUCAUGUAAUAUACAACACAACAGCAAUGAAUAUUCAUACAACCAAAUUCCAAGAAGAUGACUCAGCACAUAUCGGGGCAAUUAUGGGCAUUGUUGUUGCUGUACUGGGUCUUAUACUGCUGUUAAUAAUUUUGAGGGUUGUAUGGAAGAGAAUGCAAAAACUGAAAAGUAAAGAAAGAAAGGAAUUUUUGACUGAAAAAGAAAACUUAUUGACGCAAACAGAGGAGAAAGUUGUCCAAGGGGCUACAAAGGGAGAUGAAGCAGGCACCAGUAGUAAACAAAACGAGAGCGAAAAUGAUAUCACGGAGAUUGAUGAAGGUGGUCAAAAUGAAGAAAUAAAACAUUAUAUCCCAGAGGUUUGCGUUAGUAGUGAAACAAUGGGAGAUGAAGUUGACAUUGGUGAUACUUAAAACUCGAGUCCUUAAUGAACCAAAUGAUAAGAAAUAUGGUAUUACAGCGGCUGGUGUCAACUGUGAACCAGUGGAAGCGGAGUAUAGUAUAUCAGAAAGUGAUAUUCAUAGUGACUCAGAAGAAAAGGACCAUAGUAUUUCAGAGACUGAUGUUAAUGGUGAAGUGCAGGAGAGGGAGAAUGAUGUCACAGAGGCUGGUGUCAGUAGAGAAUCAGAGGAGGGGGAGCAUGGGAUCCUAAGGGAUAGUAAAUCUAGAAGAGAAAGGA